rnacentral:siRNA from 1 species
UUGUUGACUCUAUCUCUAUGU